rnacentral:rRNA from 1 species
GAUGAACGCUGGCGGCGUGCCUAAUACAUGCAAGUCGAGCGAACAGACGAGGAGCUUGCUCCUUUGACGUUAGCGGCGGACGGGUGAGUAACACGUAGGUAACCUACCUAUCAGACUGGGAUAACUUCGGAAAACCGGAGCUAAUACCGGAUAAUAUUUUGAACCGCAUGGUUGGAUAGUGAAAGAUGGCUUUGCUGUCACUUCUAGAUGGACCUGCGCCGUAUUAGCUAGUUGGUAAGGUAACGGCUUACCAAGGCAACGAUACGUAGCCGACCUGAGAGGCGGGUCGCCCACACGGGAACUGAGACACGGUCCAUGCUCCUACGGGACGCAGCAGUAGGGUAUCUGCCGCAAUGGGCGAAAGCCUGACGGAGCAACGCCGCGUGAGUGAUGAAGGCCUUCGGAGCGUAAAACUCUGUUAUGAGGGAAGAACAAACGUGUAAGGAACUGUGCACGUCUUGACGGUACCUAAUCAGAAAGCCACGGCUAACUACGUG